CAACCCUCAAGCACUGCUUGGUGUUGGGGCGUCUGCAGCUCCGGCUGCAGGCCCUGAAAAACAGUGGCGGGCUCGCUAUAACUCCGAGCGUAGUAAUAUAUCCUCGCUUUGGAAGUAUAGCGGUUCCCGGCCGUUAAACCCCCCAAUUUCUGAA
rnacentral:misc_RNA from 1 species